GACGAACGCUGGCGGCGUGCCUAAUACAUGCAAGUCGAACGCUGAAGGAGGAGCUUGCUUCUCUGGAUGAGUUGCGAACGGGUGAGUAACGCGUAGGUAACCUGCCUGGUAGCGGGGGAUAACUAUUGGAAACGAUAGCUAAUACCGCAUAAGAGUAGAUGUUGCAUGACAUUUGCUUAAAAGGUGCAAUUGCAUCACUACCAGAUGGACCUGCGUUGUAUUAGCUAGUUGGUGGGGUAACGGCUCACCAAGGCGACGAUACAUAGCCGACCUGAGAGGGGGAUCGGCCACACUGGGACUGAGACACGGCCCAGACUCCUACGGGAGGCAGCAGGAGGGAAUCGUCGGCAAUGGACGGAAGUCUGACCGAGCAACGCCGCGUGAGUGAAGAAGGUUUUCGGAUCGUAAAGCUCGGUUGUAAGAGAAGAACGAGUGUGAGAGUGGAAAGUUCACACUGUGACGGUAUCUUACCAGAAAGAGACGGCUAACUACGUG
rnacentral:rRNA from 1 species